rnacentral:rRNA from 1 species
AGAGUUUGAUCAUGGCUCAGGAUGAACGCUGGCGGCGUGCUUAACACAUGCAAGUCGAACGAACCUUCGGGUUAGUGGCGGACGGGUGAGUAACGCGUGAGAAUCUGCCCUCAGGAGGGGGACAACAGCUGGAAACGGCUGCUAAUACCCCAUAUGCCGCGAGGUGAAAUGAAUUUCGCCUGAGGAUGAGCUCGCGUCUGAUUAGCUAGUUGGUGUAGGUAAUGGCUCACCAAGGCAUCGAUCAGUAGCUGGUCUGAGAGGAUGAUCAGCCACACUGGGACUGAGACACGGCCCAGACUCCUACGGGGGGCAGCAGUGGGGAAUUUUCCGCAAUGGGCGAAAGCCUGACGGAGCAACGCCGCGUGAGGGAUGAAGGCCUCUGGGCUGUAAACCUCUUUUAUCAAGGAAGAAGAUCUGACGGUACUUGAUGAAUAAGCCACGGCUAAUUCCGUGCCAGCAGCCGCGGUAAUACGGGAGUGGCAAGCGUUAUCCGGAAUUAUUGGGCGUAAAGCGUCCGCAGGCGGCCCUUCAAGUCUGCUGUUAAAAAGUGGAGCUUAACUCCAUCAUGGCAGUGGAAACUGUUGGGCUUGAGUGUGGUAGGGGCAGAGGGAAUUCCCGGUGUAGCGGUGAAAUGCGUAGAUAUCGGGAAGAACACCAGUGGCGAAGGCGCUCUGCUGGGCCAUCACUGACGCUCAUGGACGAAAGCCAGGGGAGCGAAAGAGAUUAGAUACCCCUGUAGUCCUGGCCGUAAACGAUGAACACUAGGUGUCGGGGGAAUCGACCCCCUCGGUGUCGUAGCCAACGCGUUAAGUGUUCCGCCUGGGGAGUACGCACGCAAGUGUGAAACUCAAAGGAAUUGACGGGGGCCCGCACAAGCGGUGGAGUAUGUGGUUUAAUUCGAUGCAACGCGAAGAACCUUACCAGGGUUUGACAUCCUGCGAAUCUCUUGGAAACAGGAGAGUGCCUUCGGGAACGCAGUGACAGGUGGUGCAUGGCUGUCGUCAGCUCGUGUCGUGAGCUGUUGGGUUAAGUCCCGCAACGAGCGCAACCCACGUCUUUAGUUGCCAGCAUUUAGUUGGGCACUCUAGAGAGACUGCCGGUGAUAAACCGGAGGAAGGUGUGGAUGACGUCAAGUCAUCAUGCCCCUUACAUCCUGGGCUACACACGUACUACAAUGCUACGGACAAAGGGCAGCAAGUUCGCGAGGACAAGCAAAUCCCAUAAACCGUGGCUCAGUUCAGAUCGUAGGCUGCAACUCGCCUACGUGAAGGCGGAAUCGCUAGUAAUCGCAGGUCAGCAUACUGCGGUGAAUACGUUCCCGGGCCUUGUACACACCGCCCGUCACACCAUGGAAGUUGGCCACGCCCGAAGCCGUUACUCCAACCCUUGUGGAGGAGGACGUCGAAGGUGGGGCUGAUGACUGGGGUGAAGUCGUAACAAGGUAACCAAGGG